rnacentral:lncRNA from 1 species
CUUGCACUUUAGGGGGAAUGUGUACAACAGAAUCAGGGAGAGCCAGUCACUAAACACUUUUGACCAUCACAAUCCCUGGUGGGUGGGACCUUUUCAAAACUGCUAUUUGAUAUAUUACAUAGGUAAGAAUUAAUCCACAGUGAUUUUGCCCAUUUCUUAGAGAGUAUGUUCAUAGCUUAAAUCUAUGUUUUUUGAGCACAUAUUUUAUAUAACAACAGACACAUAUACUAUUAGCUUUGAUUAAAAAUGUUCAUCCCAUCGCCCCUGAUAUUUCUGGAAGGCAGGAAACAGGUUUUCUUGAAGUGUCUUUGUUUUCCACCCUCAACCCCCAACUGUCUUAAUACAAUAAAUGUGGAAUAAAAGAUG